rnacentral:rRNA from 1 species
UUGGAAACUGAUUUACUUGAGUGCGAUAGAGGCAAGUGGAACUCCAUGUGUAGCGGUGAAAUGCCUAAAAUAUGUGGAAGAACACCAGUGGCGAAAGCGGCUUGCUAGAUCGUAACUGACGUUGAGGCUCGAAAGUAUGGGUAGCAAACGGGAUUAGAUACCCCGGUAGUCCAUACCGUAAACGAUGGGUGCUAGUUGUUAAGAGGUUUCCGCCUCCUAGUGACGUAGCAAACGCAUUAAGCACCCCGCCUGAGGAGUACGGCCGCAAGGCUAAAACUUAAAGGAAUUGACGGGGACCCGCACAAGCGG